rnacentral:tRNA from 1 species
GUCCUCGUGGCCGAGCGGAUAGGCAGCGGUUUCCUAAACCGCCACAGGCAGGUUCGAGUCCUGCCGGGGACG